UGUAUUCAAAUAGAAAAUAUUAAGAUAUGAAAUAAUUUGCAUGUCAGACCAUAAGACAUAGGAGCAGAAUUAGGUCAUUUGCUCCACUGAGUCUGCUCCAGCAUUCAGUCAGGGCUGAUCCUUUUUUCUAUCUCCUCCUCAACCCCACUCCCUGGCUUUCUCCCAGUGACCUUUGAUGCCAUGUCCAAUCAAGAACCUAUCAAUCUCUGCCUUAAACACACCCAAUGACCUGGCCUCCACAGCGGCUAAAAAUUCACCACCCUUUGGUUAAAGAAAUUUCUCCACAUAUCUAUUUUGAAAGGUCACUCUUCUUUCCUGAGCCGGUGCCCUCUUGUCCUAGACUCUCCCAUCAUGGGAAACAUCCUUACCACAUCUACUCUGUCUAGGCCUUUCAACAUUCAAAAGGUUUCAAUGAGAUCCCCCCUCAUCCUUCUAAAUUCCAAUAAGUAGAUAGCCGUUUCAUUCCUAGACAAUAGUGCAUCAUCACAAUUUAUGUUCCUAUUAAAUCACUUAUCUGUUCUGUUCAUUACAAAUGGGACUAAGCAGCAUCCAUCAGGGACCCCCACCACCCAGGGCAUGAUCUUUUCUUGCUACUGCAAUCAGGAAGAAGAUAAAGGAGCCUCCAGACUCACACCACCAAGCUCAGAAGUAGUUAUUACCCCUCAACCAUAAUUGGAGAAUAAAGUUGCAUCAUUUGCUGUGUGGCCAGAACUAUGUGGCCAGCCUUGUGUUUGCUAUUUGCUAUGUAUCCAACUUAUUGGCCAGAAUGUAAUCUCUGUAUUGCCUCUGUACUAUUGAAUGCAUCAGUGCCUAAAGAAUGUAGCUAACAGUGAAAGUAAGCAUGUAGAGAUGACGGUGGUAGACGGGAUCGUGCGAUGGUGUGAUGGUAUGAAAACCAGUCAAGGCCGGGAAGGGGGACACGUGUUCCAAGGAGUAGACUAGAACAAGUUUAAGCUACUGAACAAAAAUACUGGUGGCGAAUCGAGAAGCUAAUGUGCUGGUGGUAAGAGGAUAUGCUAAUGUACUGAGAUAAGAAAGUACUAUAAAGAAUACUGUGUACUAGGCUCAGCGGGCAAUUAGUGACACGUUCAUUAAUUGUCUCAGCUUUUGUUUGCAAAUAAAGGCUUAAACUUCUCAAAGAAGCUUCUGCAUCUUCUGGUUAUUUCAAGAAACCACGACAGAAUUGGCGACCGCGGCAGGACCGGAAAGAGACCCACAGAAAGGAAAUGGCAGAUUGGGGACGCUUCACAGUCCUCUAGGGACCCCCACAGGGCUAACAGAAUUAAGGGUGCACCCAAACAAAAGGUGCUCGUCCAGUGGGCCAUUUCAGAGGUAACUUCACUCAGAUGUGGGAUGUGACCCCAGGCGAAAGACACAUAGUAGGUUCCCCUCCACCCGAAGGUACAUUGGAUGCCCAGACCAUCCCCUUCGCAGACACCUGGUGGCUGUGUGGUGAGGAAGGAGGUCUAAGAUCCACACUUCCCCUCAAUUGGGCAGCUAAUCUCUUCAUCUGCUUCUCUGUAUGGCAAUUCAUGAAGCCUGAGGCAAGACCAGAUGGGCCCUGAUAUGGUGACAUUUCUUCUCUGACUUCCAGGCUACAGGAACAUGAAUGAUGGUCAAUACACAUGACACAGCUAACCAAUUUGACAUGCAGCCAGUGCGUAAAACGACAUUUAAAAAAUGUGUUCAGCUUAACCCAUAUGGAUCUAAUCAACCAUUGUUAUUAAGUAGAUUUGACGUUCUUCAAAA